rnacentral:rRNA from 1 species
UGGCGGCAUGCCUUACACAUGCAAGUCGAACGGCAGCACGGGGGCAACCCUGGUGGCGAGUGGCGAACGGGUGAGUAAUACAUCGGAACGUGUCCUGUAGUGGGGGAUAGCCCGGCGAAAGCCGGAUUAAUACCGCAUACGCUCUGCGGAGGAAAGCGGGGGCUCCUUCGGGACCUCGCGCUACAGGGGCGGCCGAUGGCAGAUUAGCUAGUUGGUGGGGUAAAGGCCUACCAAGGCGACGAUCUGUAGCUGGUCUGAGAGGACGACCAGCCACACUGGGACUGAGACACGGCCCAGACUCCUACGGGAGGCAGCAGUGGGGAAUUUUGGACAAUGGGCGCAAGCCUGAUCCAGCAAUGCCGCGUGUGUGAAGAAGGCCUUCGGGUUGUAAAGCACUUUUGUCCGGAAAGAAAACCUCAGCCCUAAUACGGCGGGGGGAUGACGGUACCGGAAGAAUAAGCACCGGCUAACUACGUGCCAGCAGCCGCGGUAAUACGUAGGGUGCAAGCGUUAAUCGGAAUUACUGGGCGUAAAGCGUGCGCAGGCGGUCCGCUAAGACAGAUGUGAAAUCCCCGGGCUUAACCUGGGAACUGCAUUUGUGACUGGCGGGCUAGAGUAUGGCAGAGGGGGGUAGAAUUCCACGUGUAGCAGUGAAAUGCGUAGAGAUGUGGAGGAAUACCGAUGGCGAAGGCAGCCCCCUGGGCCAAUACUGACGCUCAUGCACGAAAGCGUGGGGAGCAAACAGGAUUAGAUACCCUGGUAGUCCACGCCCUAAACGAUGUCAACUAGUUGUCGGGCCUUCAUUGGCUUGGUAACGUAGCUAACGCGUGAAGUUGACCGCCUGGGGAGUACGGUCGCAAGAUUAAAACUCAAAGGAAUUGACGGGGACCCGCACAAGCGGUGGAUGAUGUGGAUUAAUUCGAUGCAACGCGAAAAACCUUACCUACCCUUGACAUGUACGGAAUCCUG